rnacentral:rRNA from 1 species
GACGAACGCUGGCGGCGGGCUUAACACAUGCAAGUCGAACGGCAAGACACUGCUUGUGUGGGGUGCUCGAGUGGCGAACGGGUGAGUAACAGGUGAGUAACCUGCCCUUGACUUUGGGAUAACUUCAGGAAACUGGGGCUAAUACCGUAUAGGAGAUCCUGCUGCAUGGUGGGGGUUGGAACGUUUCGGCGGGUGGGGAUGGACUCGCGGCUUAUCAGCUUGUUGGUUGGGGAGUGGCUUACCCAGCCUUUGGCCGGUCGGCGGCCUGAGAGGGUGACCGGCGACCUGGGGACUGAGAUACGGCCCAGACUCCUACGGGAGGCAGCAGUGGGGAAUAUUGCACAAUGGGCGGAAGCCUGAUGCAGAAACGUCGCGUGCGGGAUGACGGCCUUCGGGUUGUAAAACGCUUUCGCUUGUGACGAAGCGUUAGUGACGGUAAUGGGUAAAGAAGCACCGGCUAACUACGUG